rnacentral:rRNA from 1 species
GACGAACGCUGGCGGCGUGCUUAACACAUGCAAGUCGAGCGGUAAGGCCCUUUCGGGGUACGACGAGCGGCGAACGGGUGAGUAACACGUGGGUGACCUGCCCUCAGCUCUGGGAUAAGCCUGGGAAACUGGGUCUAAUACUGGAUAUGACUCCACGGUGCAUGUCGUGGGGUGGAAAGCCUUGUGCGGCUGAGGAUGGGCCCGCGGCCUAUCAGCUUGUUGGUGGGGUGAGGCCUACCAAGGCGACGACGGGUAGCCGGCCUGAGAGGGCGACCGGCCACACUGGGACUGAGACACGGCCCAGACUCCUACGGGAGGCAGCAGUGGGGAAUCUUGCGCAAUGGGCGAAAGCCUGACG